rnacentral:lncRNA from 1 species
GAAUCAUUGACCUCAGGGCCAGUCUGGCAGCCAGAGCAUUGCCAAGUCUUUGAGACGGAAGCCCUGUAGCAGUCCCGGAGUGAUGGGACUCCCUGCCUGGCCUGAGAUACCCAGUUAGCACCUGCGAAUCAGAAUUUCCUCUUCGCAGCAAUAAAGCAUCCAGCCUUUGCAUCUGUGACAGCCUCCCCUGUAAUUUAUGCAUUCUAUGAUCUCCUCAACAUUCACAAUUUGUAUGCCCUGGUGUGGCUUAGAAGUAAAAAGUCUACCUGCAGUGCAAGAGACCCAGGUUUAACCCCUGUGUUGGGAAAAUCCGCUGGAGAAGGGAAUGGCAACCCACUCCAGUAUUCUUGCCUGGAGAAUCCCAUGGACAGAGGAGCCUGGCAAGCUACAGCCCACGGGGUCACAAGGAGUCGGACAUGACUGAGUGAGUUUACUUCACUUCACAGAGAGAAAAAAGUAAGAGAAAGAUGUUUUUUUUAAAUAUUGUUGUAAAAGAUACAACUUAUAAGUUAUAAAUUCUAGAAUUUUAUGAAUGGUGAACUCAUAGAUGAAAAAGAGUGUUAGGCAUUUUGGCUGCAGGAAACAGUUACCUUAGUAAUGGAAGUUUCUAGAAAGGGCAUAUGAGAAAAUAGAGAAGAGAGUAUUCUCACAGGAAUCGAAGAACAUCCAUUACCCGAGAUCCCACAUAGUCCUGAGCACUAGUGUUAUAUCUGUUGUCUCUGUAGGAGCAAGAAUUUAUAGAUCUAUGCUCUGAUACCAUUAACAAGGCUCUAUUAUUCUGUGUUUAUACUUCUCAUUGUGUCCUUUAUAAUUUCUCUUCCCACUAUUUGGAGAUCCAAAGUGAUGAAGACCAUAGAUUCUACAAUUAAAA